GGGAGAGGGAGUCUGAGGGGCUGCAGUUGUACAGAGCGACAGCAUCUCCCAAAGUUUCCGGGGAGGGAAGACAGGCAGAAGUCAGAGAAGCCUUACAAGAAGUGAUGGUGGGCUGAAGUGUAAAGGAUCAGUGGCUAAACUAAAAGGCAUUUUAAGAGGCCAGAAUACUGGAGCAGCUUGGCAUUUUCUACUUCAGGGUAUCUUCCUGACCCAGGGAUCAAACCUGUGUCUCUUGCGUCUCCUGAAUUGGGUACCCAGGAGGAAGCAACCCAAACACCUGCCAAGGGAUGAAAUGCAUAAAGAAAGUGUGGUAUAUGCAUGGAAUGGAAUACUAUUCGGUCUUUAAAAAGAUGCUGCUGCUGCUGCU
ensembl:lncRNA